CCGCGAGGUGGAGCAAAUCUCAAAAAGCCGUCCCAGUUCGGAUCGCAGGCUGCAACCCGCCUGCGUGAAGUUGGAAUCGCUAGUAAUCGCGGAUCAGCAUGCCGCGGUGAAUACGUUCCCGGGCCUUGUACACACCGCCCGUCACACCAUGAGAGUCGGGAACACCCGAAGUCCGUAGCCUAACCGCAAGGGGGGCGCGGCCGAAGGUGGGUUCGAUAAUUGGGGUGAAGUCGUAACAAGGUAUC
rnacentral:rRNA from 1 species